GAUGAACGCUGGCGGCGUGCCUAAUACAUGCAAGUCGAGCGAACAGAUGAGGAGCUUGCUCCUCUGACGUUAGCGGCGGACGGGUGAGUAACACGUGGAUAACCUACCUAUAAGACUGGGAUAACUUCGGGAAACCGGAGCUAAUACCGGAUAAUAUAUUGAACCGCAUGGUUCAAUAGUGAAAGACGGUUUUGCUGUCACUUAUAGAUGGAUCCGCGCCGCAUUAGCUAGUUGGUAAGGUAACGGCUUACCAAGGCAACGAUGCGUAGCCGACCUGAGAGGUUGUUCGGCCCCCUUGAAACUAGGCAAGGGCCCGGACCCUACGGGAGGCAGCAGUAGGGAAUCUUCCGCAAUGGGCGAAAGCUUGACGGAGCAACGCCGCGUGAGUGAUGAAGGUCUUCGGAUCGUAAAACUCUGUUAUUAGGGAAGAACAAAUGUGUAAGUAACUAUGCACGUCUUGACGGUACCUAAUCAGAAAGCCACGGCUAACUACGUG
rnacentral:rRNA from 1 species